UCUCCGUAGGUGAACCUGCGGAGGGAUCAUUACAAGUGACCCCGGUCUAACCACCGGGAUGUUCAUAACCCUUUGUUGUCCGACUCUGUUGCCUCCGGGGCGACCCUGCCUUCGGGCGGGGGCUCCGGGUGGACACUUCAAACUCUUGCGUAACUUUGCAGUCUUAUUAUAACAUAAUAAAACUUUCAACAACGGAUCUCUUGGCUCUC
rnacentral:misc_RNA from 1 species